CAGUCGCCACGGUAAUACGUAGGUGGCAAGCGUUGCCCGGAAUUAUUGGGCGUAAAGGGCUCGCAGGCGGUUUCUUAAGUCUGAUGUGAAAGCCCCCGGCUCAACCGGGGAGGGUCAUUGGAAACUGGGAAACUUGAGUGCAGAAGAGGAGAGUGGAAUUCCACGUGUAGCGGUGAAAUGCGUAGAGAUGUGGAGGAACACCAGUGGCGAAGGCGACUCUCUGGUCUGUAACUGACGCUGAGGAGCGAAAGCGUGGGGAGCGAGCAGGAUUAGAUACCCGCGUAGUCCCUGUCUCUUAUAA
rnacentral:rRNA from 1 species